AGUGGAAUAACUGGGUCAGAUAGUGGUUCUAUUUCUAGUUUUUUAAAAAAUCUCCAUACUGCUUUCCAGAGUGGUUACAUUAAUUUGCAAUCCCACCAGCAAU
rnacentral:pre_miRNA from 1 species